UGGGGAAUAUUGCACAAUGGGCGCAAGCCUGAUGCAGCCAUGCCGCGUGUGUGAAGAAGGCCUUCGGGUUGUAAAGCACUUUCAGCGGGGAGGAAGGCGAUAAGGUUAAUAACCUCAUCGAUUGACGUUACCCGCAGAAGAAGCACCGGCUAACUCCGUGCCAGCAGCCGCGGUAAUACGGAGGGUGCAAGCGUUAAUCGGAAUUACUGGGCGUAAAGCGCACGCAGGCGGUCUGUCAAGUCGGAUGUGAAAUCCCCGGGCUCAACCUGGGAACUGCAUUCGAAACUGGCAGGCUAGAGUCUUGUAGAGGGGGGUAGAAUUCCAGGUGUAGCGGUGAUAUGCGUAGAGAGCUGGAGGAAUACCGGGGGCGAAGGCGGCCCCCUGGACAAAAACUGAAGCUCAGGUGCGAAAGCGUGGGGAGCAAACAGG
rnacentral:rRNA from 1 species